rnacentral:rRNA from 1 species
AGAUGGCGACCGGCGCACGGGUGAGUAACACGUAUCCAACCUGCCGAUAACUCCGGAAUAGCCUUUCGAAAGAAAGAUUAAUACCGGAUGGCAUACGAAUAUCGCAUGAUAUUUUUAUUAAAGAAUUUCGGUUAUCGAUGGGGAUGCGUUCCAUUAGUUUGCUGGCGGGGUAACGGCCCACCAAGACUACGAUGGAUAGGGGUUCUGAGAGGAAGGUCCCCCACAUUGGAACUGAGACACGGUCCAA